CGACUCCUGGUGCUGUACAACUCAUUUGUAGACAAGCAUUUCCUGAACCUUUAUUACAUCUUGUUCUGCCGGAACAUGAUAUUCCUCAAUAGCACCAUCAACCCUAUCCUCUACAAUGCCAUGUCCAUCAAGUUCAGGACAGCGUUUCGAAGGGUAAUUAAUUGCGUUUGGUCCAGGUCGUGGCGUAGAGACAGUCUCCAUUACCACCGCUCCGUGAUCACAAACGGCUCCUUCGCCACCCGUCGCCAUGACUCCACCGGAAGCGGAAACGUGAAGCAGACGAACGGAAAGGUGCUUUAUCGACGCGAGACACAGUCUAUCAUUCUUGCGCAGUGAGAAUAAUUGGAUUAAAUGUGACUGGUUUUAGGCCCUAUUUUCCAAACGUUUAAUUUUUGGAUUGUCGUGCGAUAUUCUUUCUUCUCAAGAAGGCCAAUGGGAAAAAAAUCUCAAAAAGUGUGUAAUUUGUAUUCCUAAAUCCUAUAAUAGGCCUAUUCAAAAUUCUGCAUGCUUCUACUCUACAAGUAAAGCAUUCAAGAGGACAAUUAGGAUUUAUUCAUCUUAAAAGAUUGUAAUUUAUUUCGGUAUCAUCUUUCAUUUGAACAAGGAAGUUGUUAAAAACGCCAUGGAACUAGACGCCAAUGCAGCGCCUUUUUAAAUCAAGGAAAAAUAGAACACGUAAUGCUAAAACCCCACGCUUUUAUUUUCUUGACUGCACUUAUUACUUUUUUCAUUGGUACAUUUGACAUUUAGAAAACACUCACAAAUGUCAUGAGGACAUUAGUACCAAAGCAUUCAGAAUAAAUAUAUUUCUUCGAGCUUUGCAUAAAACCGUUGUCACAUCAACGUAGAUAAUUAAAAAGAAAGCGACAAAUAAGCCUUUCUUUAAUAGAGUAAAUAAUCUAAUUUUUCUCAUAACCACUUUCACGUUUGAUGAAUACUGGGUUAUAUUUAUUUUUACACGAUAUAACUGGAUGCUAUCUCUUUUCUUUAAUCGUUAACUCUCCAUGUUUAUAUAAAAAAAAUAAAAACUAACUAAAUAUUUUUCUACCUCUCCAUGUUACACCACUUAGAACACGUACAAGACAUUUGCCAAAUGUGUAUGAAAAAGGUAUACAUUUUAAGGGGGUUGAUAAUUUUUCACAGGACAAUAUUGUAUCCAAGAUUUCACGGAUACUGUAUCUGUUUUUUACAGUCUUGUUCAGAACAAGGUAUAUUUUAAUUUAUUAAAAUAUUCAAUUCAUUAUUUAAAGGAUAAGUAGGUUCGUAGUGUCACAUUUUAUGCUUUCUCUUUCGUAAAGCACCUGUUCUUGUAAAAUUACGUCACAAGAAUGAAAUGUUGUUCUUAUUUUGUAUGGAAAGUACUAGCGCUGUAGCAGGCCGUAUAAAUGCUGGUAAGACUUACAUAUUAUUGAAAGAAGCUAUUUCGCAAUUGAAAUGCUCAUCAAGUAAUUUAGGGUGUCUUUUUCAAACUGUUAUGACAGAUUUAUCAGUGAUGGCGGGGUUUUAUAUUUACAUUUUUCUAAUUAAAUUGCGUAUCUUUGAGCCGCAAGCUGCCGAAAGUGGAGAUUAUGAUAGAUCCAUUUCAAGUAAUUGUUCUCAGUUGACGUAACAAAAAAGUUCUGUUUCAAUAAACAGGGAGUUAGAUUUAUAGGCCUUUUGUGCAACGCAACUAAUAAAGUCUGAUUGUUUUAUCAUGGCAAAUUGAAGUCACAUAAUUGUUUUUCGAUGCAUAAAAAUUUUGAUAAAAGAUAGCAAUUAGAGUACUAAGCUUUUAAAAUAUAGAAAUAUACUUGAAUUAAAAACAAUAUUUUUUCGUUCUUCAUAAGAUAUAGGCUAUUUUUGUUGUAAGUUUUAAAAGGUAAAGAUAUUGGUCUGUGUAUAUAUGUUUGAUUACUUAGAACAGGGGCAAUUUAAGUAUAUAUUUAUAUAUAACAUCACACCAAAGACAGUUUUAGACAGUGAUAAUGUGAUGACGUGUGAAGGGAAUGUUUUUGCUAUCAUGAAAGGGAACUGUUGUAAAUAAAAUGAUACAAAAUAUGCA